rnacentral:rRNA from 1 species
AACGAACGCUGGCGGCAUGCCUAACACAUGCAAGUCGAACGAGACCUUCGGGUCUAGUGGCGCACGGGUGCGUAACGCGUGGGAACCUGCCUUUAGGUUCGGAAUAACUCAGAGAAAUUUGAGCUAAUACCGGAUGAUGUCUUCGGACCAAAGAUUUAUCGCCUUUAGAUGGGCCCGCGUUGGAUUAGCUAGUUGGUGGGGUAAAGGCCUACCAAGGCGACGAUCCAUAGCUGGUCUGAGAGGAUGAUCAGCCACACUGGGACUGAGACACGGCCCAGACUCCUACGGGAGGCGGCAGUGGGGAAUAUUGGACAAUGGGCGAAAGCCUGAUCCAGCAAUGCCGCGUGAGUGAUGAAGGCCUUAGGGUUGUAAAGCUCUUUUACCCGAGAUGAUAAUGACAGUAUCGGGAGAAUAAGCUCCGGCUAACUCCGUG